AGUCACGAAACAUGGUAAAGAACAGAGUGAUUGUGUUCAAGUCAGCUUUAUUUCAAACUCAUUUCAUAAGUGUCAGUUUAUGUGUUUUGUUAAUAAUUUUCAGACGCACAGUGUAAAACAGUGAGGACGAUUUCAACCAUGACGAACAACUUCAACUGCAACAGUUCUUUAUUUGAUGUCCCGUCGAACUUGUUUUCUUAUUUAAGGCAACAAGGUGUUUUGGGAACAGAGGAUGUAGAGGAUGGAGAUGAGCACAAUUUACUGUUGGAGGGACAAGAAAAUGUGCAAGAAACCGACAUUAGCGACACAACUGUUUUAUCAACAUUGAGUGCUGUAAAUCCAAUGAGGAAGUUCAAAGAAUUGAACCAUCGAAUGGACAAGAACAUGAAUUGCAAGGGUUAGAUUGCAACAAAAAUGUGGCUGCUCAAGAGACUGAUGAAGUUAAUACGGAAGGAAACGUACAGAGAACACGUAGGGACCAUUCAGUGACCAACGAAGGACCAAAUGUACCUAAUAAACGCAGAAAAAUGACUUCUCCUCAGAAAUGUAUGGUGGACAAGCAAAAACACCCAAUUUUACCAGGAUGUCUAAAGAAUAAGUGCACAAAAAAAUGUCACGAUCACUUUAAUGAACAAGAUCGAAUAAUAAUUCAUGCAGAAUAUUGGAAAUGCAAUUUCAACAUGAGGAGAGCAUGGUUAUCAAGCAAGGUUUGCCAGAAACCCAUUAAAAGAAGGCAUGUUGAUGAGGAAAUUUCAAGAAAAAACAAGAGUAUUGCUUAUACUUUAACCAAUACUGCAGGUGAGACAUUUCCCGUGUGUCAGAAAUUUUUCUUAAAUACUCUCGGCUACACACAGGAUCAAGUAAUUAAGUCAUUAUUUGUAUCAAUGCAAGCUGGUGCAAAAGCAGACGCUGCAUCAAACAACAAUGACUUGAAUGCAACAAACCAGGCUAACCCUUGUCUUGUGUCUCCCAAAGAUGCUAGGGGAAAACAUCCUUCUUCGAAGAAAAUCAACAGAAAAGUAAUUAUAGAUCACAUAGAAUCUUUCAAUCCUUCAUUAUCACAUUUCAGAAGAGAACAUGCUCCUUUCGUAAGGUAUUUGUCAAGUGAUGUAACUGUAUCCUUUAUGCAUAAGCAUUUUAAAGAUACCUUUCCAGAUAUCCCCUGCUCAUAUGAAGUCUAUAGAAAGACUCUUAGAGAAAUGAACAUAAGUUUUUCCAUGCCUAGUGAAGACAAAUGCUCGACUUGUCUUUUUUAUGAAAUGAACAUGACUGAUGACAAUGAGGAAAAAGCAAAAAAACACAAUGAGGAUCAAAGAAAAGCACGAAAUGAAUACAAUGUUGAUUCAGAAAAACACAAAAAUUCUGAUGAUGUUCAAUUAUUUGCUGUUGACAUGCAAAAGGUUCUCUUAAUCCCAAGAAUGCCUGAUGUCAAAGAUAGCUUCUUUUGUUCUAGAUUAGUUGCUUUCAAUGAAACAUUUGCCUCAAUGAAAAAUGAUGCUCACUUUUGUGUUCUGUGGAAUGAAGCCAUUCGUGGUAGAAACGCAAGUGAUGUUACAUCCAGCUACAUUAAAGUCAUGGAACAUUUACGAGAAACUCAGCACUUUAUAUUUUGGGCAGACAUUACUGCACCGCCCAAAAUAAAAACUGGACUAUUUUUUCUAGUUUUGCUUUGCAUGUCAAUAAGCCAAUGGGUCCUAAAAGCAUAACAAUGAAAUUUCUGGUUACUGGUCAUACAUUUAUGGCCGCAAAUGGCAUUCAUGGUAAAAUCGAGCAAUCAAUUAGAAGAAAGAAAAAUAUCUAUGACAUGAGGGACCUAAUUGAAGUCGUUGAAAACUACACAAAAAGAACAAAUGUUUUAGAGAUGAAAGUAAGUGAUUUUGCAUUGCAUCAAAAUUUGCUAAAGCGAAGUACUCGAAAAACAUCUGGUGACAUUAUUCCCAACUUACAUGAUCUUUGUGAAGUGAAGUUUGAGAAAGGUUCGUUUGAAAUGAUUUAUAAAAAGGAUUUCAAUGAAUCAGGUACCAAAGUUUCUUUCCUAAAGACACUACCAGAAAAUCACACAAGCAAGGUCCUUGAAUGCGCAAGGGGCGUCUCGAAAUCCAAACUUGACAAAAUCCAGUCCACCUUAGUUUCAAGAAUGCCUCUAUCAAGACGCUCUUUUUGGGAAGAUUUACCAAACAGUGAUCAUUUGGAAGAUCUUCUAAAACAACAAUGAAAUAAGUACAGUCUCAAAAAGUGAAAUAAUCAGUACCUUUAGUUAUGCCAAAUAUAUCUCUAUAUUUAUAGAAAAUAUAGAGAAUGGUGAGUAAAGUACGUGUUCCUUAUACACUUUAUAGUAAUGUUUAUUUUAUUCAAAAAGGAAGUUUUUUUUUUCUCUAAGUUACGUUACAAGGAAGGAUUUGUAAAGUGCAAUGAUUCA